rnacentral:rRNA from 1 species
GUCUAUGUACAUACUGCCCUGAAUGCACCCAAUCUUGUCUAAUCUUGGAAGCUAAGCAGGGUUGGGCCUGCUUAGCUG